rnacentral:lncRNA from 1 species
AACAGAAUGUAAACAAAUGGAGUAUCACUGUCCUUGCUGAAGCCUUUCAGUUGCCACAUACUUCAGUGCCAAUCCCAGAUCUGGUAAGAAACAGAAUUAUUUUAACGUUUUUGUUCCGUAGUUUUUUGUGUGGAUGUGUUUUUAUACCACCGCCAUCAAAUCAAUCUUACUUGCAAGAACAAAUCUACAGUUUGAUAAGUUUACCUUUACAAUUUUACAGAUGGGUCGAUGAUAUGUCAAUAUAUUGGAAGUGACCGUGACAAUUUCUACUAUGGUAAAUAUAUAUACGUUAAUUAUUAACUUUAAAUACAAUAUAUACACUUUUAUUUAGUUCAAGAGAAGAAAACAAAAAUGUAUUACAGACUUUUUUUGUGUAUUUCAAGCCCCCUAAAUACAGGAAAUCAAGGUCUCACAGUUCACGGCCAGCAAAGAAGACAGGGAGUCCAAAGACCCCCCCAAAAAGGUCCUCUAGUGCCAAAUCCACCAAAACUGAGGUUGACAUCCUCAGCCCAGCAGCCAUGGAGAAUCUCCUCUAUAUUGCCCAUAAUGCAGGAGACUGCCUGAAGUUCAGAGGGUUUGGAUGGCAACAUUCAAAUAACAAGAAGAAAAAGAAAGGAGCCAAGCGAAAGAAGAAAAAGUAGAGAAUUUUGGCCAAAAGUAAAAUUUCCUUCUUUGGUUUACAGACGUUUCUUCUAGAUGCCUUAAUAAUAGCACCACCUGGUGGACUUCUUUUGAAUAAUCACCCAAGAACUUCCAGCAGCCGGAACCAAAACAUCAAUUACUUCUUCCCUACAGUCAAAAACAGGAUUGCAAAAACAUGCUAGUAAAACUUUUUAUUUCAGCACCUUUUAUUUGAAACUGAAAGAAUUAGAAUUGUUUCAUAAAAAGUUUGGCAGUUUAACAGGUCAAUUGGAAAUGUGAAGCAACUUUUCUCAGCUUUGUGCAACUGUGUGGUCUAUUACUAUUGACUUUGGAGAACAUUAUACAUGAACAAGUGGAAAUGAAAACAGCACAGUGCAUUCCAUUAAAGGCCAGCCAACAGUGCCAUAAUACUGGACCUCAACUUAUCACACUGCUAAGCUGGAAAUUCUCUUAAUCCAGUCCUUGCACAACUGAUCUUAUAAAAAAUAGGCUUAACUGAACGUGCCUCUAACACUAAAGGAAGAAACAAAGCAGUUCCAGGCACUGGUAAUAUUCUCAUACAAAUUUUACAUUAUCAAUUCUUGUAGCAAAUAUUUACUCAUUGAACAGUAACCCUGUAAAAUAAAUAGUUUCUCUGCAGACUCUGUCUCUUCUUGGUUGUAACAUGGUCCCACUUUGGUCACUCUGGGGGCUUCUUUUUGGCCUCCACGUCUUUCUUAAAUGCAUCAAUUUUCUUGGCUAUGUUGGGAACCUGGAGGGAGAAGCAAUCAGAGUUCAAAUGGUCUGAUGCAGAAAUACAGUCACAAACUAAACCAAAGGUGUCAAACUCGAGGCCCAGGGCCCAAAUCUGGCCAGUGGAACAAUUAUAUCUGGCCAACAAGAUCAUAUAUUUGUAUUUUUAUUGGCCCGUCAAUAUGAAGCCUGCAGAUUUCCUCCAGUAUAAUAAUGUAAACUUUAGCACCAUCAUUUAAAAUACCCUUAAUAAACCACAAAAAUCAGGGAAAUUAAAGGGUACAGAAGACUCAUGAUAUUUGGUGUUUGAUUUCAUGUUUUCAAUUUUGCAUUUCAAGAUUACAAGCCAAACAUGACUGGAUUUUUUUAUUUCAUGCUUUGUUUUGUUUUACUCAGUAUUUAGACUUGUUUCAUUUUUAUACUUUAGAUUCCAGUUUUAAAUUUUAAGUCAUAUUUUGACCUUUUAAACCUGAUUUCAACGUUCUGCUCAUGUAUUUGCUCUUUAACUGCAUUAUUUUUCUAUUUUUAAUAUCCUGCUCUGAUCUUUUGAACUAAUAAAAAUAGAAUAAAAAA